UAAAACGAUCAAAAUGGUAUUGUUUCCUAAGUGUUAAGAUAUUUACUGUACAUUUUGAUUAUUUUAUUUUUCAUUUUAUUGUUUUACAUUCUGUAUUAUACGUAUUGAUCC